rnacentral:rRNA from 1 species
UCGGGAAUUUUGGGCAAUGGGCGAAAGCCUGACCCAGCAACGCCGCGUGAAGGAUGAAGUAUUUCGGUAUGUAAACUUCGAAAGAAUAGGAAGAAUCAAUGACGGUACUAUUUAUAAGGUCCGGCUAACUACGUGCCAGCAGCCGCGGUAAUACGUAGGGACCAAGCGUUGUUCGGAUUUACUGGGCGUAAAGGGCGCGUAGGCGGCGCGGUAAGUCACUUGUGAAAUCUCUGAGCUUAACUCAGAACGGCCAAGUGAUACUGCAGUGCUAGAGUGUGGAAGGGGCAAUCGGAAUUCUUGGUGUAGCGGUGAAAUGCGUAGAUAUCAAGAGGAACACCUGAGGUGAAGACGGGUUGCUGGGCCAACACUGACGCUGAGGCGCGAAAGCCAGGGGAGCAAACGGGAUUAGAUACCCAGGUAGUCCCUGAGCGGGCUGGCAAGGCGCAU